AUACGUAGGGGGCAAGCGUUAUCCGGAUUUACUGGGCGUAAAGGGAGCGUAGGUGGCUUGGCAAGUCGAAGGUGAAAUCUCGGAGCUCAACUCCGAGAUUGCCUUCAAAACUGCUAGGCUCGAGGAUUGUAGAGGAGAAUGGAAUUCCUGGUGUAGCAGUGAAAUGCGUAGAUAUCGGGAGGAAGACCAGUGGCGAAGGCGAUUCUCUGGGCAAUUCCUGACACUGAGGCACGAAGGCUAGGGGAGCGAACGGGAUUAGAAACCCUAGUAGUCC
rnacentral:rRNA from 1 species